ensembl:snRNA U4 U4 spliceosomal RNA
AGCUUUGUGCAGUGGCAGUAUUGUAGCCAAUGAGGUUUAUCUGAGAUGUGAUUAUUGCUAACUGAAACAGAUUCAUAGUGCACAGAGAGUGGGAUUUGUAGUUAGCUACAUCUAGAUUUUGAAAUCCCCACCCCACUAUUUACCAGUUGGAUAAACUUGGAG